GCCUCAGAGGCCAGAGGUUUGGGUAACGCGGAGGGUACCGGUUACAGCCUGUCUCCGCUUCUCAGGAUACGGACUGCGGAAAUUGUGGGAGUUCAAUGUGAAAACUGAGUGACCUGAAACCCGUCCCAUUCGUUGAAACUCUUAGUGGUUCUUAGUUCCACGACCAUGAGUUGAACCCUGUGCCCCCUGUGCUGGAAGCAUGGAAUCUAACUACUGGACUCCCAGGUAAAUGGUUUGAAAUAUUGCAAAAAUUACUAAACUGUGACAGACACGAAGAGAGUAAACACUUGGAAAAAUGGUGUCUGACUAGUUGCUACAAAUCUUCAAUUUGUACAAAACAAAGUAUCUACAAAGCACAAUAAAGCAACAAAAUGA